UGGGGAAUAUUGGGCAAUGGGCGCAAGCCUGACCCAGCAACGCCGCGUGAGGGAAGAAGGCUUUCGGGUUGUAAACCUCUGUCCUUGGUGACGAAAAAAAUGACGGUAGCCAAGGAGGAAGCCCCGGCUAACUACGUGCCAGCAGCCGCGGUAAUACGUAGGGGGCGAACGUUGUCCGGAAUUACUGGGCGUAAAGGGUGCGUAGGUGGCCUUUUAAGUUGGAUGUGAAAUCCCCGGGCUUAACUUGGGUGGUGCAUCUAAUACUGGAGGGCUAGAGUGCAGGAGAGGGAAGCGGAAUUCCUAGUGUAGCGGUGAAAUGCGUAGAUAUUAGGAGGAACACCAGUUGCGAAGGCGGCUCUCUGGACUGUAACUGACACUGAGGCACGAAAGCGUGGGGAGCAAACA
rnacentral:rRNA from 1 species